GCAGUCGAGGGGUAUAGGUUUUCGGACCUUGAGACCGGCGCACGGGUGCGUAACGCGUAUGCAAUCUACCUUUUACAGAGGGAUAGCCCAGAGAAAUUUGGAUUAAUACCUCAUAGUAUUAUUGAAUGGCAUCAUUUAAUAAUUAAAGUUUCAACGGUAAAAGAUGAGCAUGCGUCCCAUUAGCUAGUUGGUAAGGUAACGGCUUACCAAGGCAACGAUGGGUAGGGGUCCUGAGAGGGAGAUCCCCCACACUGGUACUGAGACACGGACCAGACUCCUACGGGAGGCAGCAGUGAGGAAUAUUGGUCAAUGGGCGCAAGCCUGAACCAGCCAUGCCGCGUGCAGGAUGAAGCAUCUAUGGUGUGUAAACUGCUUUUGUACGAGAAGAAACACUCCUUCGUGAAGGAGCUUGACGGUAUCGUAAGAAUAAGGACCGGCUAACUCCGUGCCAGCAGCCGCGGUAAUACGGAGGGUCCAAGCGUUAUCCGGAAUCAUUGGGUUUAAAGGGUCCGUAGGCGGUUUAGUAAGUCAGUGGUGAAAGCCCAUCGCUCAACGGUGGAACGGCCAUUGAUACUGCUAGACUUGAAUUAUUAGGAAGUAACUAGAAUAUGUAGUGUAGCGGUGAAAUGCUUAGAGAUUACAUGGAAUACCAAUUGCGAAGGCAGGUUACUACUAAUGGAUUGACGCUGAUGGACGAAAGCGUGNGGAGCGAACAGGAUUAGAUACCCUGGUAGUCCACGCCGUAAACGAUGGAUACUAGCUGUUCGGAGCAAUCUGAGUGGCUAAGCGAAAGUGAUAAGUAUCCCACCUGGGGAGUACGUUCGCAAGAAUGAAACUC
rnacentral:rRNA from 1 species